UGACCCAGAUGCUCAGCUUCUUCUCCCUGCCUGUGAUACCAGUUAGGAAGACAGCUCUUACUCGCUGCCCUUUACUCCAGGGAUGACUUUCUUUUUUGGGUAGGAUUUGAGUUUUCACAGGGAGUUCUUCUUUCAUCAUCUGGCUGCCUUUGCUUCUAAAGCCCAAGAGAGGAACAUGCUGUGGGCUGUGGCUCUUCUUCUAGCUUUCUUGGCUCCUGCCAGUCACAGUGCUUCCAACUUGGAAUGGAGGAGGAGGUCAGUCACCGGGCAGACUGGGGCAACUGUUGAAAUCACCUGUGAUAUUGUUGUACAAACCAGCACCUACCUCCACUGGUACCGACACCUAGAGGGGAAGGCCCCACAACGUCUUCUCUACUACUAUCCCCGUUCCUCAAAGUUUUGGAUGGACUCGGGAAUCAGUCGAGUGAAAUAUGAUGUUUCUGCAGGUAGAGAUGAGAGCUACAAACUUAACCUCCAUAAUCUGGAGGAAAGUGAUACUGGUGUGUAUUACUGUGUGGUGUGGGACAGGCACGGUGAUUCAGACUUCCUCUAUCCUGUGCUGAAAACUGCCUGUGGCUGCCGAGAGCAGCCCUGGGCCACAGGGUAG